AAAGUCAGUUGUAGGGUUUGGAACAUGUGCAAAGCUGGAUUAUGGAUAGAGCCAGUGGGCCCAACGCCCCAGGACCUCGGACUGCCAGGGGCCUCCAAAGCCUCAGGCUGCGCACCCCAAUACUGCCAAAGUAAGCUGAACACCAGGGUCCUCACAGCACAAGGCCAGCAGACAUUCCCUCAUUUCAGUAGAAUACAAAACGAGCCGCAUUACAAAUGGCUACCCUAUGGGGUCCAAGGCAUACUCGAUCGAUCAUGACGCAGGCCCUGAACAUGAGUGCGUGACAGCGCGAGAGACGCGACGUGAGGGCCGGGAAGCGUGAGCACUAGAUGGAGACAGG